GCUGGUGCUGCUGCUGCUGCUGCUAUUUCCUUUCUUAGAGCUUUUCUUGGACCUGUUCUUGACUGUCUCUGGAAGCAUCAAAAAGAAGCCUCUACAGCAGCAGAGUUAUGGUGCUGCAGCUGUACCACUGUAGUGAAGACACUUCUUACAUGGACGGAAGGGGUUUUUCCAUUGAUGCAGUUAAUGCACCUCUCCCAGAGGCAGUAGUUGGGUCAACAGAAGAACUCUUCUAUCCACUUAGCUGCAUAUUUACGUUGACCUAACUGUGGCGCUCAGGGCACAACAUUUUUCACAGUCUUGAAUCAUGUACCUAGGUUGACCUCAUUUUCAAGUGUGAAUCUGAAGAACGAGAUGCUUGAUUUCCCUCAAGAAGCAACCCACUGAAAUUGUCAAAAACCUUCCAAUUCCACAGUUCUGAAUGUCAGCGCGGAAACUGAUCAGAAUCACACAAUUUUAAUCUGGUGUUGCACUGGAGAAUUGAAGCUGUAUUCACAAAGGACCCUCCAGAAAGAGAGGCUACAGGAAUAGUACUCAAGACCUCUGACACCAGCCAGGAAUUUGGAGUAAAAUAGCAGAGACCAUUCCUAUCUUACAACAGUUGAAAAGUUGGGGGAAAAGGGGCACAAAUUGUGUCUUACUACAUAUUUAUUCAAUGCCUGCCACAACAGGGCUUCAGUGCCAGCUGGAGCCUCUCGAUGCUUCUGUAAUACAAAUAAUAACAUGUUCACAAAACAGAAACAACCCAAUUUCUCAUAAGAACAGAACAUGAGCCUGUCACCACAAGAUCUUCAUCUUUAAUUCAACCUAGGUGAGCAGUAAUUCCAUGUCAACAUCACCAAUAGCUAUUUGGCGACCUAUCGGGAAAAGUUGGUUGCAUGCAGGUUUUAAUGGGCAAGUGUCCUCUCUGCUGUCAGCCUCAGCAAACAAGCUGAAGGGUCAGA